rnacentral:rRNA from 1 species
AACGAACGCUGGCGGCAGGCCUAAUACAUGCAAGUUGAACGCACCGCAAGGUGAGUGGCAGACGGGUGAGUAACGCGUGGGAAUCUUCCUUGCAGUACGGAAUAACUCCGGGAAACCGGUGCUAAUACCGUAUACGUCCUUCGGGAGAAAGAUUUAUCGCUGCAAGAUGAGCCCGCGUCGGAUUAGCUAGUUGGUGGGGUAAAGGCCUACCAAGGCUACGAUCCGUAGCUGGUCUGAGAGGAUGAUCAGCCACACUGGGACUGAGACACGGCCCAGACUCCUACGGGAGGCAGCAGUAGGGAAUAUUGGACAAUGGGCGCAAGCCUGAUCCAGCCAUGCCGCGUGAGUGAAGAAGGCCUUAGGGUUGUAAAGCUCUUUUGGCGGGGAAGAUAAUGACGGUACCCGCAGAAUAAGCUCCGGCUAACUUCGUGCCAGCCGCCGCAGUAA